AAAGCAUUCAGCGCCUCUUUACCAGGAUUGCCUUUCGUCGUUUGUUCGGUGCUGCCUCACUACCUCCCUAUGAAACGCGAUUGCAGUUAUUCAAUCUUCACUCCUUAAGCUUCCGCCGCCAAGUGUUUCAGGCUUGUUUUAUUGGUGGCUUAUUACUUUCUGCUACUGAUGCUCCUGAUUUACUCUCGUCCAUCUCGCUGUAUGUUCCCUCUCGUUCUCUUCGUCCACGUGAUCCUCUGUCAAUUGAAACACGUCAUACUCUUUAUACUUUCAAUGACCCUCUUCUGUCCUGUUUCAGGUUGUUUAACCACUUUUACUAUCUCUUUGAUUUCGACUCCUCUCUUAACUCUUUCCGUAACCGUAUUUUUUCUUCUAAUUCCCUUUAAUUAUUCUCCUUAGUUUUCUAUUACUCUCUUUUUUUUGUUUUUGUUAAGUUUAUGAUAGUCUCUACGCUCUACUCUUGUUUUUUUUCUUUUCUUUUUUGCUAGGUCAAGACUAGGUUAGUUAGGCUUAGUUUUUCAUGAAUUAUUUUGUUUAUUUGUUAGUAUUAAAUUAGUUUUAAGUCUAUUAUAUUUAGCCUUGAUGGCGGAUAUUGUAUGAAAUAAAUGAAAUGAAAUGAAAUGAUUGCACGAGCUUCGCUGGGGCAUUCACGUGAAGGACUGGUCGGCAAAUUCGUUCAGAUUUAAUAAUCACUGGUCUAUUUGCCUGUUUCGCAGUGCAAGGAGCUGAUGACGGUGAUGCCGAAAGGACGCGGGGCGAGGAUGCGAUGGCUGACGAUUGAACCAGGUUCACAGGGGCAUUCACGGUGAGGAGUGGUCGGCCCAUUUGUCCCGAUUUUAUAACCACUGGCUUGUUGUUUUGAUUCACAGUGCCAGGAGCCGAUAAUGGAGAUGCCGAAAGGACGUAGGAUGAUUUUUUUUGACCAUUGCACGAGCUUCACAGGGGCAUUCACGGAAGGAAUAAUGGUGAUGUAGAUAUGGAUGUCUUUAAUGGUACGAGGGUCGCUGGUACUACCGAUGCCUGCGCUUUUACGCUGAGAUCUGGAAAUGAUGCCAUCGGUGCCGUUAUCGUUUUAUACACGUUGUUUGAAGCCAUUUCGCUAAACGUAUCCUAAAUGAACAUUUUGUUUAUUUAGUGAACCAUUUGAUUUCAAUUUAUCCUAAUUAAUAGGUACCUUUUUAUGUUUUGCAGAAAAUCCGACAGAAAUAAUAAAACAAAUUUUAGAUUUCAGCUUAUGAAGCAUCACCGAACAA